rnacentral:rRNA from 1 species
CCUACGGGCGGCAGCAGUGAGGAAUAUUGGUCAAUGGACGAGAGUCUGAACCAGCCAAGUAGCGUGAAGGAUGAAUGCCCUAUGGGUUGUAAACCUCUUUUAUCAAGGGAUAAAACCAGCCACGUGUGCCCUUUUGCAUGUACCUUAUGAAAAAGGAUCGGCUAACUCCGUGCCAGCAGCCGCGGUAAUACGGAGGAUCCGAGCGUUAUCCGGAUUUAUUGGGUUUAAAGGGUGCGUAGAUGGGUUGUUAAGUCAGUUGUGAAAGUUUGCGGCUCAACCGUAAAAUUGCAAUUGAUACUGGCAGUCUUGAGUACAGUUGAGGUAGGCGGAAUUCGUGGUGUAGCGGUGAAAUGCUUAGAUAUCACGAAGAACCCCGAUUGCGAAGGCAGCUUACUAAACUGUGACUGACAUUGAUGCUCGAAAGUGUGGGUAUCAAACAGGAUUAGAUACCCGGGUAGUC